CCUACGGGAGGCAGCAGUAGGGAAUCUUUCACAAUGGGCGAAAGCCUGAUGGAGCAACGCCGCGUGCAGGAUGAAGGCCUUCGGGUUGUAAACUGCUUUUAUAAGCGAGAAAUAUGAUGGUAACUUAUGAAUAAGGAUCGGCUAACUACGUGCCAGCAGCCGCGGUCAUACGUAGGAGCCGAGCAUUAUCCGGAGUGACUGGGUGUAAAGAGUUGCGUAGGUGGCAGAAGAAGUAGCUAGUGAAAUCUGGUGGCUCAACCAUUCAGACUAUUAGCUAAACUGUUAAGCUCGAGAGCGUUAGGGGCAACUGGAAUUUCUAGUGUAGGAGUGAAAUCCGUAGAUAUUAGGAGGAACACCAAUAGCGUAGGCAGGUUACUGGGACGGUUCUGACACUAAGGCACGAAAGCGUAGGGAGCAAACGGGAUUAGAUACCCGAGUAGUC
rnacentral:rRNA from 1 species